UAUAUUUUUCAACAUACCAUUCUAAGCGAUUCUUUACAAGAUGUUCUGAAAUUUUUAGUAACACUGACGAUAGAACUAUGGGACGAUAGGAGGAAGCAGAAGAGGGAGAUUUACCGGGUUUUAAAAUGGGAAUAACCUUCUGGGUUUUCCAUGAAUCUGGGAUAUUGCCUGUCAACAACAUAGAAUUAACUAAAUCCAAAUAAUAACAUAAAACUUCGUCGGAAGCGUGUUUAAAAAAGGAAUAUGGAAUUCCGUCCAUGCCAGGAGCCGAAUCAUUUAAGUUUGAGACAACACCUUUUAGCUCUUGAAGUGAAAAGAGCGCAUUAAGGUCUUUAAGGUUAACUUCGCCUAAAGGUGAUGGACGGAGAAGUGACACAGAGGGAGGUGCUAAUCUCUUUAAAAAAUCAUUGGCUAGAGAGUCUGGCAUAGGGUGAAAAGGGGGCUUGUAUGCAGACCUAUACCUUCUAAUAUUGUUCCAAACUAUGGAAGCAUGUGUGUCCGGGCUAAUAGAUUCGCAAAACUUUUUCCAGCUUGCGGACUUCUUUUUCUUAAAUAAUUUUUUCGCGUCGUUAACAGAUUUACAAUAUAUAGUGUAGUUUUCAUAUGUAGAAUUAUUGUUAUAAUUUCUUUCAGCCUGUUUUCUUUUAUUUAUAGCGGCUGAACAGUCAAUGUCCCACCAAGGAGGUGAUGGGGAGAGAAAUGAGAAUGGGAAAGUGAUCACUACCGUGACUAUAUGAUAAAACUGACCAAUGUAAAAGAGAUGAUAGAUUUGAAGUACAAAUAGAUAAAUCGGGAGCACUAUAACCCUCAUUGGGUGCAGUAUGCCUCGUUGGAAACCCUGUAUUGAGAAUGCAUAACUUGUGGAAAUCUAAUAAAUCUAAUAUUUCGAAACCCCAUUGAUUAUUAUUACUGCUACCCCAAGACAAGUGUUGAGCAUUAAAAUCACCAAGAAUUAUAAAAGGUUUUGGUAAAUUGCUUAUUAAAUUUCUAAUUUCUAAAAAUAUAGAAUAGGAUGGAUGAGGAAUAUACAAUGACACAAAACAGAUGUUAUUUACAGAUGCAGCAAUUAUAGAGACAUUGGGAUUAUGUAAUGGAAGUGAAAUAUGUACAUAUGAAUGAUGAUGGUUGAUGAGUAAAGCGGUACCGCCAAACCCAUCGGAUCUGUCCUCUCUUAUACAGGUAUAGCCAGGAAUCUUAAAAAGAGAAUCUGGCUUGAGCCAUGUUUCUUGAAGAGCAAAGACAAUUGGGCAAUUCUUACUAGUAGCUAUAUGGGAAGCUUGGCAUAAACAACAAAACACAGAAUCCUCAUCUACUGAACAUUUGUCACCCGAGUGACUCUGACCACAACGAAAACAUCUGGGAGUCGAUCUGCACUGUGACUUAACAUGCCCAUACCUACAGCAAUUGUAACACUGUAUGGUAGGGUAAAUGUAUAAGUCAACAGGCAAAGAGUUAUAGCAUAUAAAAAUUCUUUUAGGUAAUGUUUGGCCAUCAAAUGUAAAAACUACUGACUCAGUAUUAACAAACUGUGCAGUAUUAUUUA